rnacentral:rRNA from 1 species
GACGAACGCUGGCGGCGUGCUUAACACAUGCAAGUCGAACGAAGUGGCGAACGGGUGAGUAACGCGUAAUCAACCUGCCCUUCAGAGGGGGACUACAGUUGGAAACGACUGCUAAUACCGCAUACUGAAGGAGGGGAUUGCGUCUGAUUCGCUAGUUGGAGGGGUAACGGCCCACCAAGGCGAUGAUCAGUAGACGGUCCUAGAGGAUGGACGGGCACAUUUGGACUGGGGCACGGCCCAGACUCCUACGGGAGGGAGCAGUGGGGAAUCUUCCGCAAUGGAGGGAAGUCUGACGGAGCAACGCCGCGUGAGGGAUGACGGCCUUCGGGUUGUAAAGCUCUGUUAAGCGGGACGCGGUACCGGAAUAGAAAGCCACGGCUAACUACGUGCCAGCAGCCGCGGUAAUUC